CCAGACGUCCUACGGGAGGCAGCAGUGGGGAAUAUUGCACAAUGGGGGAAACCCUGAUGCAGCGACGCGCGUGGAGGAAGAAGGUCUUCGGAUUGUAAACUCCUGUUGUUGAGGAAGAUAAUGACGGUACUCAACAAGGAAGUGACGGCUAACUACGUGC
rnacentral:rRNA from 1 species